GAUGAACGCUGGCGGCGUGCCUAAUACAUGCAAGUCGAGCGAACGGACGAGAAGCUUGCUUUUCUGAUGUUAGCGGCGGACGGGUGAGUAACACGUGGAUAACCUACCUAUAAGACUGGGAUAACUUCGGGAAACCGGAGCUAAUACCGGAUAAUAUUUUGAACCGCAUGGUUCAAAAGUGAAAGACGGUCUUGCUGUCACUUAUAGAUGGAUCCGCGCUGCAUUAGCUAGUUGGUAAGGUAACGGCUUACCAAGGCAACGAUGCGUAGCCGACCUGAGAGGGUGAUCGGCCACACUGGAACUGAGACACGGUCCAGACUCCUACGGGAGGCAGCAGUAGGGAAUCUUCCGCAAUGGGCGAAAGCCUGACGGAGCAACGCCGCGUGAGUGAUGAAGGUCUUCGGAUCGUAAAACUCUGUUAUUAGGGAAGAACAUAUGUGUAAGUAACUGUGCACGUCUUGACGGUACCUAAUCAGAAAGCAACGGCUAACUACGUG
rnacentral:rRNA from 1 species